rnacentral:rRNA from 1 species
UUGCCAGAGAUGGCUUGGUGCCCGAAAGGGAAUCGGAACACAGGUGCUGCAUGGCUGUCGUCAGCUCGUGUCGUGAGAUGUUGGGUUAAGUCCCGCAACGAGCGCAACCCUUAUCAUUAGUUGCUAACGCAAGGGCACUCUAAUGAGACUGCCGGUGACAAACCGGAGGAAGGUGGGGAUGACGUCAAGUCCUCAUGGCCCUUAUGGUAGGGCUUCACACGUCAUACAAUGGUCGGUACAGAGGGUUGCCAAGCCGCGAGGCGGAGCCAAUCCCACAAAGCCGAUCGUAGUCCGGAUUGUUCUCUGCAACUCGAGAGCAUGAAGUCGGAAUCGCUAGUAAUCGCAGGUCAGCAUACUGCGGUGAAUACGUUCCCGGGUCUU